AUUAUUAUUUAGCAUCAGAUAAUAUUACUUAAUAUUACGAAGGCGGUUCUCCCUGGGCGAGGCUCACCAUUGCACUCCGGUGGCGCUGACCCCUGCGAUUAACCCAAAUGUGGUUAACUCGAGUGCGCAGUUUUUGGUAGCGGGGGACUGCGUUCGCGCUAUCACCCU